rnacentral:rRNA from 1 species
AGGCUUUGAUCCUGGCUCAGGAUGAACGCUGGCGGCGUGCUUAACACAUGCAAGUCGAACGGAGUCUUCGGACUUAGUGGCGGACGGGUGAGUAACGCGUGAGAAUCUACCCUUAGGUUGGGGACAACAGUUGGAAACGGCUGCUAAUACCCAAUGUGCCGAGAGGUGAAAGCUUUAGUGCCUGAGGAUGAGCUCGCGUCUGAUUAGCUAGUUGGUGGGGUAAAGGCUUACCAAGGCGACGAUCAGUAGCUGGUCUGAGAGGAUGAUCAGCCACACUGGGACUGAGACACGGCCCAGACUCCUACGGGAGGCAGCAGUGGGGAAUUUUCCGCAAUGGGCGAAAGUCUGACGGAGCAACGCCGCGUGUGGGAGGAAGGCCUUUGGGUUGUAAACCACUUUUCUCUGGGAAGAAGACCUGACGGUACCUGAGGAAUAAGCCUCGGCUAUAUCCG